rnacentral:rRNA from 1 species
UACGUGAGGUGCAAGCGUUGUCCGGAAUUAUUGGGCGUAAGAGCUACGUAGGCGGUCUGUUCGCGGUCUGCCUGUGAAAACCUAGGGCUUAACUCUGGGCGUGCAGUGGGUACGGGCAGGCUAGAGUGUGGUAGGGGAGACUGGAAUUCCUGGUGUAGCGGUGAAAUGCGCAGAUAAUCAGGAGGAACACCGGUGGCGAAGGCGGUUCUCCGUGGGCGAACUUGACCUG